GACGAACGCUGGCGGCGUGCCUAAUACAUGCAAGUCGAACGAGAGCGACCGGUGCUUGCACUGGUCAAUCUAGUGGCGAACGGGUGAGUACCACGUGGGUAACCUGCCCAUCAGAGGGGGAUAACAUCCGGAAACGGAUGCUAAAACCGCAUAGGUCUUCGAACCGCAUGGUUUGAAGAGGAAAAGAGGCGCAAGCUUCUGCUGAUGGAUGGACCCGCGGUGCAUUAGCUAGUUGGUGAGGUAACGGCUCACCAAGGCCGUGAUGCAUAGCCGACCUGAGAGGGUGAUCGGCCACAUUGGGACUGAGACACGGCCCAAACUCCUACGGGAGGCAGCAGUAGGGAAUCUUCCGCAAUGGACGCAAGUCUGACGGAGCAACGCCGCGUGAGUGAAGAAGGUUUUCGGAUCGUAAAACUCUGUUGUUAGAGAAGAACAAGUGCUAGAGUAACUGUUAGCGCCUUGACGGUAUCUAACCAGAAAGCCACGGCUAACUACGUG
rnacentral:rRNA from 1 species